GGCAUUAUCUCUUUAGCAGGCAGGCCUCUCUCCCCCUGUACUGUAUUUUUCCAUUGUGUUGAAUCAAACUUUAUCUUCAACUCUGCUUGCCCAUUCUAAUAAUAACGAGGUGGCGUUCAAAGCGUGACUUCGCAAGUGAUUCAUUUCCUCAAUACCGCUGAUUGGGACUUUGCACCACUUCAAAGGUGAAUUCCUAAGCCAUCUGCAGAAAAUUUUCCCUUCAUGGCCAGGAACAUGUGGCCCAAGGGUUGGUGGGGAAGCUCGAGCUUUGCAAUCACAACGACCAUUCCACAAAGAGAUGAAGACACCUGGACAAGAAAAGCUGUGGACCCAACUGCUCAUGGAGGACUAAUAGUGAGGAUCCACCAGACCAAGGGCUGGAGCAACAUCUGUUUCCCAGGACCUCAUUUGGGCAUCUCUGCUCAGUUUCCCUCCUCCGUGACCACCAAGGGGGGUUGCACCCAUUCGCUCUUGUCUUCAUAAAGCCUGUACCCCAGGCAGUCAUCACAAGGGAGAGAUUGCUCUGCAUAAGAACGGGAAUGGCUUCAUCCUAGACAUCAUGUUUACUUAGUGCUUCAAGUCGGGGCAUCGGCUUUGAAACCUCUGGCUAUGAAUUUUGAGCUGGAGUAACCCACAGGCAGAAAACUCACCCAUCCUGAGGGUCAUGGAAUGGGCAAAGUGAUGACUCAGGAGAAGAAAAACCAGCGUCUCACUGUUAAAAUGUGCUAAGGAAGAUGACCCCGCUGGAAGGGGACUGGUUCCAUUUGGCUUUCCAGGCAGUCACUACCGUAAGGCCAGCGACAUUUGCAUCGCCCGUGGUGUUGGAGCAGCUCAGCGUCCAAGUCACCUGUCUCAAAGCCCUGGACAGGGAUCCCUCCCCUUGCCCAUCUCUCAGAUGAUGUCCUUUUGGUUUUGGCUGGAGCUGGAGGUGCCUGUACAGCCCUCUGCCCUUGGGACACAGACACCGCCCCACGGCCAGGCCCUCCGUGGCACCAACCUGGCCAUGGCAGGUGGGGACAACCAAGAAAUACGGCUGCAAGGACCCACCUCAGAAGUUCAACCAACACCAGAGAAGCCCCCGCAAGGGACACUUUGAGCUCCUGAUGUCUUAAGGCUUGAGGACAGUAUGGUGGCACCCUCAUCUGGUGAGCUUCUCUUCAGUUUUCUUCUUUCAUUAGCAAAUUUUCUCCUAGCAAAAUUCUGCCAAAAAAGCCAGCCAUCCCAAACACUGGGAACACUCACAUGAUAUUUGCAGCUGACCACAUCCUCCUCAAUCUUUCUUCAUCUUGGCACACUCAGCUUAUGAGCUUGCAGAGAACAAUUCACCCCUUGCUCAAUGGGACUUGAAUUCAACCAUCAGUCCCAAGCACUUCGCUAAAAAUUGGGCACAAUUUGUGAAAACCUAAUAUGGUGUUAAAAACCCAAGAUGUUCUGAUGAUGCCUGACUAAUGAAUGUGUGGUGGCUAAAAACAGCUAACGAGGCAUGACCAUGUUAGUCCUACAGAAAUCAUAGUGAUUAAUCACACAACCAGAUGAGAAGACAUAAUGAGAAGGCAAUGGACAUCUUGGACAUCUUCACAGAAGUCUCAGAUGUCUUCCUGAAGGAUAAUUCACACAGAACACAGGAUUACUGAGCUUCAUGCGCUGAACUGCAUGGAGGUUUUUGAUCUGUACCACAUGGGGUUAGAUUAGAAAAGACAUUAAAUGUAUACAGGCUCUUCAAAUUGCAGGAAAACUUUUCCUUGAUCACAAAAGAAGAUAUGAAUCAAAGCGAUUUCCUUAAGGAAAAUCUCAAAGUUUGGGGUUUUGACAGUGCCCCCAAAUACAAUUAGGAUGUGGUGAACCUUGUUUUGCUCUUGAAUUCACCUGUAUCAACUGAAAUUGAAAAUGGAAACACUACAGCAGCUUCCUGCACAUCUUUUUCAGCCUGGAUUUCAUUAAUAUCUUCCCCAAGCUGGGAUUAUUUUGCUCAUGUACAGUGUUCAAAUCUGUUCGGGCUUUGUUUGAAAGCGGAAAAACACUCCUAAUGUAUAACCUAAUAGAAAAUGAUAGUGUUCAACAGCUUUUUUUUUUUUUAAUAACUAUUAAAAUUUAAUAUAUAAUCAUAUCCCACUAUGGAAUUCUGCAAGAGUGUUAAAAAUAACCCAACAGGAAGCAUAAAAGCUCUUAUUAAAUUCUACAAUAUUUACAGUAAUUUCUGCAUAGGAGUCUAUUAAAUUUCCAUAGCACGCUCAGUCCCAUUUCUACCGAGUUCCAUAGA